rnacentral:rRNA from 1 species
UACGUAGGGGGCAAGCGUUAUCCGGAAUUACUGGGUGUAAAGGGUGAGUAGGCGGCAUGGUAAGCCAGAUGUGAAAGCCUUGGGCUUAACCCGAGGAUUGCAUUUGGAACUAUCAAGCUAGAGUACGGGAGAGGAAAGCGGAAUUCCUAGUGUAGCGGUGAAAUGCGUAGAUAUUAGGAAGAACACCAGUGGCGAAGGCGGCUUUCUGGACUGAAACUGACGCUGAGGCACGAAAGCGUGGGGAGCGAACAGG